rnacentral:rRNA from 1 species
AGUGAACGCUGGCGGUAGGCCUAACACAUGCAAGUCGAACGGCAGCACAGUAAGAGCUUGCUCUUACGGGUGGCGAGUGGCGUACGGGUGAGGAAUACAUCGGAAUCUACUUUUUCGUGGGGGAUAACGUAGGGAAACUUACGCUAAUACCGCAUACGACCUACGGGUGAAAGCAGGGGAUCUUCGGACCUUGCGCGAUUGAAUGAGCCGAUGUCGGGUUAGCUAGUUGGCGGGGUAAAGGCCCACCAAGGCGACGAUCCGUAGCUGGUCUGAGAGGAUGAUCAGCCACACUGGAACUGAGACACGGUCCAGACUCCUACGGGAGGCAGCAGUGGGGAAUAUUGGACAAUGGGCGCAAGCCUGAUCCAGCCAUACCGCGUGGGUGAAGAAGGCCUUCGGGUUGUAAAGCCCUUUUGUUGGGAAAGAAAAGCAGCAGGUUAAUACCCCGCUGUUCUGACGGUACCCAAAGAAUAAGCACCGGCUAACUUCGUG